rnacentral:misc_RNA from 1 species
GUGGGAGGGGGCUUGCCCCCGAUUGCAGUGGUUCAGCCAGCACAGAUGUAUCUGGCGCACCACCAUCGGGGGCAAGCCCCCUCCCCC